GAUGAAGAACGUAGCGAAAUGCGAUAAGUAAUGUGAAUUGCAGAAUUCAGUGAAUCAUCGAAUCUUUGAACGCACAUUGCGCCCCUUGGUAUUCCGAGGGGCAUGCCUAUUCGAGCGUCAUUAUCACCCCUCAAGCUCAGCUUGGUGAUGGGCGUCUGUCCCGCCUCCCGCGCGUGGACUCGCCUCAAAAGCAUUGGCGGCCGCUACACUGGCUUCGAGCGCAGCAAAACGCGCCUUCGUUGCAGGUGGAUCGGCUCCCAGAAGCCCCCUUUUUAUCAGUUUUGACCUCGGAUCAGGUGAGAAUACCCGCUGAACUUAAGCAUAUCAAUAAGCGGAGGA
rnacentral:misc_RNA from 1 species